AAAGUCGUAACAAGGUCUCCGUUGGUGAACCAGCGGAGGGAUCAUUACAGAGCUCCGAAAGGACUCCCUUAAACCAUCGCGAACUCAUCCGUACAGCGUUGCUUCGGCGGGCGGCCCCUGGGAGGGGCCGCAGCCCCCCCUCUCCGGAGGGGGGGCGCCCGCCGGAGGGCACAAACCCUUCUGUAUUAUAGUGGCAUCUCUGAGUAAGCAAGCAAAUAAGUUAAAACUUUCAACAACGGAUCUCUUGGCUCUG
rnacentral:misc_RNA from 1 species